UACGUAGGGCGCAAGCGUUAUCCGGAAUUACUGGGUGUAAAGGGUUCGUAGGCGGUGCGGCAAGUUGGGAGUGAAAUCUCUGGGCUUAACCCAGAGGCUGCUUCCAAAACUGCUGUGCUUGAGUGUGGGAGAGGCGCGUGGAAUUGCAGGUGUAGCGGUGAAAUGCGUAGAUAUCUGCGGAACACCCGUGGCGAAAGCGGCGCGCUGGACCACUACUGACGCUGAGGAACGAAAGCUAGGGGAGCAAACAGG
rnacentral:rRNA from 1 species